rnacentral:rRNA from 1 species
GCACUCAAAGGUGGGGCAUCAAACAAGACCGCCGCGGACAACGCGGAGGAAGGCGGGGACGACGUCAAGUCAUCAUGCCCCUUAUGACCUGGGUUACACACGUACUACAAUGGGUGUCAACAAAGAGAAGCGAAACCGCGAGGAAGAGCAAACCUCAAAAACACACCCCCAGUUCAGAUCGCAGGCUGCAACCCGCCUGCGUGAAGCAGGAAUCGCUAGUAAUCGCGGGUCAGUAUACCGCGGUGAAUACGUUCCCGGGCCUUGUACACACCGCCCGUCACACUAUGAGAGUCAGAAACACCCGAAGCCGGUGAGGUAACCGCAAGGAGCCAGCCGUCGAAGGCGGAGCUGAUGAUUGGAGUGAAGUCGUAACAAGGUAGCCG